GAUGGUUAACUCAUGAGUUCUGGUGAAAUACGAACAAAUUAAAAGCACUAGCGCUUGCCUCAGAGAGGUCAUUCGAAAUUUCAACAAUCUUUGGAAUUACUUCACUUCAAGUCAUCACUUUUUUUCUUUUGAAAUCACUAUUUCGAUCCGUUGAUUCUGGCCUUUGAAUAUUUUUCUCCUUCCGAAAUUGUGAAUCGCAAUGAUAUCGAAGUAUUCACUCUAUUUCCUAUUGCUUGUCAUUGUACAUGUUUCAUGCCGAAAACCGGCUUGUCCAGCUGGCCACAUCGAAAAAUAUAAGGUUGAUGGCAAAAAUAUUCUGCACAUAAAACUAUCUUCGCAAAAUAAAGAAAACAUUACAAAUAAAAUGUCGAUCUUCGAACCGCUACUUUGGGCUUAUCAGCUGAAAGCAAAAAUUGUAAUUCGCACGAAUAAUUGUCAAUCUGGUGAUUUCAGUUUUGAUGAGUUUGAAAUGAAUCGCCAGUGAAUAUGAGUUCUAUCUAAGCCAUUACACCCAAUGUAAGAGAUAUGCUUCACGGCCAAAUUGUUCAUUUGAAAUGGAUCAAUAAAUGUACAUGGACUUA